GACGAACGCUGGCGGCGUGCUUAACACAUGCAAGUCGAACGGUGAAGCGCCUUCCGUUUUGGUGGGUGUGGGUGAGUGGCGAACGGGUGAGUAACACGUGAGUAACCUGCGGCCUUCUUCGGGAGAACCGCAGGAAAGUUUGGCUAAUAGGGGAGAGUCUGGGUCUGUCGGAUGAUGGGUCUGGGCGAGAUAAUGUUUCGGUGGGGGGUGGGCGCGCGGCUUAGCAGCUUGGUGGUGGGGUGAUGGCCUACCAUGGCGGUGAGGAGUGGGCGGCCUGGGAGGGUGGGCGGCACUAGUGGGAAUGAACCACGGACACGACUACUACGGGCGGCAGCAGUGGGGAAUAUUGAACAAUGGGAGCAAGGAUGCUGCAGCGACGCCGCGGGAGGGAUGGAGGCCUUCGGGUUGUGAACCUCUUUCGGCAGUGAAGCAGGCCUGCCUCGUUUGUGGGUGGGUUGACGGUAGCUGGAUAAGAAGCGCCGGCUAACUACGUG
rnacentral:rRNA from 1 species